GUGCCAGCAGCCGCGGUAAUACGUAGGUGGCAAGCGUUGUCCGGAUUUACUGGGCGUAAAGCGUGCGCAGGCGGACCCGUAAGUAGAAAGUGAAAGGCGGAAGCUCAACUUCCGGACUGCUUCCUAUACUGCUGGUCUUGAAUGUCGGAGAGGAAAGCGGAACGACACGUGUAGCGGUGAAAUGCGUUGAGAUGUGUCGGAACACCAAUGGCGAAAGCAGCUUUCUGGACGAAUAUUGACGCCCAUGCACGAAAGCCAAGGUAGCAAACAGGAUUAGAUACCCUGGUAGUCUUGGCCAUAAACGAUGUUCAAUAGGUGUUGGGGGGUAACCCUCAGUGCCGCAGCUAACGCAUUAAGUGAACCGCCUGGGGACUACGGCCGCAAGGUUGAAACUCAAAGGAAUUGGCGGGGGCCCGCACAAGCGGUGGAGCAUAUGGCUUAAUUCGAUGCAACGCGAAGAACCUUACCAGGGCUUGACAUGGAUCUGCAAGCUGCCGAAAAGCAGUCGCUUUCGAAGGUGAUUCACAGGUGGUGCAUGGCUGUCGUCAGCUCGUGUUGUGAAAUGUUGGGUUAAGUCCCGCAACGAGCGCAACCCUCAUGUUCUGUUACCAGCGAGUAAUGUCGGGGACUCGGAACAAACUGCCUCUGUAAAGAGGAGGAAGGUGGGGAUGACGUCAAGUCAUCAUGCCCCUUACGCCCUGGGCUGCACAUAUGCUACAAUGGCCGGUACAAAGAGUUGCUAACCUGCGAAGGUAUGCUAAUCUCAAAAAGCCGGUCUCAGUUCGGAUUGGAGUCUGCAACUCGACUCCAUGAAGUUGGGAUCGCUAGUAAACGCCGGUCAGCAAUACGGCGUUGAAUACGUUCCCGGGCCUUGCACUCACCGCCCGUC
rnacentral:rRNA from 1 species